UCUUUACCAUACCUAUUUAUACUAGUUGUAAACUUGUAACCUGUAUCCUAUUAUUUUCUUAGGCUUGUACUUUAAUUUACUGGUGUGUGACAUUAUGCAACGACAAAAAAUGAUCCAAUCUAAAACAUUGUGUUCAAAAACAAUAUGAUACAACACAAUCCUAUACAAUGUCAUACAUUAUGAAUAAAUAUAUAACAACGAUCCGAACGGAGUGUUGAAGGGUGGUUGCCCCUCGUUCUGCCACAAAGUGGAAACGGAUUUAACUGUUGUGGAGAUGACCCAUGAAGAGCCAGUUAUGAUAAUUAUAUUUGGGCUAACCAAUUUGGGCAUGGAGAUGACCCGUUCCAAUCUUGGUGUGGCAACCCAGUAUGGCAUGUGAUUGAGACUUCUCUCCCAUGUAACUGGCGUUUGCAGCCAUAUUCUGGCUGGCUUCUCUUUUGCCUUAUCAUAAUACACAUCUGGACACGUUUUGCUUGGAAAGAGAGAAGAGAAAAAGAAUAUUUUUCUGUGAUAUAAUUUUUGUAUAUGUUGAACCUGCCAUUUUCUGAUACAAUAAUGUAUCACCAUGUGUUCCGUAUUAGCUGAACAUAGCAUAGAAGGUAAGAAGAAUGAGGAAUCAGAGAGGUUGGGAUUUCCUGUAAAGGGUGGUUGCCCCUCUCUGCUAUGCCCAUGAUUCUCCAUUGAUAACCAAAAAGACCAACAACCCUUUGUUAUAAACAAAAAUAAAAUAAAAUUCAUUGUGCUGCUGCUGCUUAUCUUGUGAAGAGGUUGUGAAGAGUUAUGGGCUACGUUCAGUCUCGACAUUGAGAAAUAUCCGACCUGUAUAUUGGCUGCGCAACCCAAUAUGUCUUUAUGUAGCUAACUGUUGUCUGCAGCCAUGUUAUGGUCACCUUCUCUUUUGCUGUGGUACAAAAACACAAAUCUGAGCCUAAUGACCAGUUUCAUGGUCUCCAAUAGACAGUUCAUUACUGAAGGUGAAAAACUCCAAGUAGUUUACCCAAAAUACGAAGGUUACCCAGAAAGAAUGAAAUGAGGCAAAACGGAGAGUAGUGGGACUUUCUUUAAAGGGUGGUUGCUCCUAUCCGUUUUGCCAUUGAUUUUCCUCCAUUAUCAAACAACCAACAGGCCUUUGUUUCAUGAGAAAAGAAGAAGGAGAAAAUACAAAAUGCAAAAUGGAUUUAAUAUAUAUACAAAUCUUUUCUUGUGUGUGUGUACACAUGUGUUUUCUGUGUUGAUGGAAGGUACAUAAAGAGGCAGUGAUGAUGAUGUUUCUAUAUCUGGCUUAACCAAUUUGGGCAUGGAGAUAACCCAUCCCGUAUUUUGGCGUGGCAACACGGUAUGGCCUGUGAUUGAGACUUCUCUCCCAGUCAAAGCCAUGGCUUGGGUGGCUUCUCUUUUGCCUUAUCAUAAAAUACAUUUGAGCCCCAUUUGCUUGGAAAGAGGGAAAAAAAGGAACUUUUCCGUGAUUUUGUUUUAUGUUGGACCUGUAAUUAUCUGCUACAAGCUAUAAAUCAUCUUAUAGUCCCAAUGUAUCACCAUAUUUGUUCACUGUCAGCUGAUCAUGGCCUUGAAAGGAUGAAGAAUGAGGCGUCAUAGGGAUUGGGGUUUUCCUUAAAGGGUGGGUUGCCCCUCUGCUAUGCCAGUGAUUUCCAUUGAUAUCCAAAAAAUUAACAGCUCUUUGAAGAAAACAAGAUAGGAAAAAACAAAAUCGUCAUCCAAACAUGCCCUUUUGGAACAGUUACAGUCAUUGCAUUGAGAUUAUUGGACCCCACUUAUGGGAUACACUGGGUAUGUUUUUUGUUGUUUGAGUAUAUUAUUCACAGCUCGCUUGGAUGGUUGUUAUCGUGACAGUGUUUCUGUGCCCUUCAAAUAUUUUUCUUUUCUUUUUUAAUGCUUUUGCGUAGCAUUGUAUGUUGACGGUGGGAGUGGUAGAAGCGAUGGUGGUGAGUAUAAUCAGUCUGCUUGAAAGAGGUGAGACAAUGAUUUUGAUCAAAUUUUAAUUCCCUUCUGAGCUGAUUAAUUGCACAUUUGAGGUUAUCUGAUCCUUAACGAUUUUCUGAUGGUCUUGCAGCCAUGGCAUUGCUGGGACUCUCUUUUUGAAAGUUGAUGUUAGUGUUUGUUUUGUUCUUUCUCUUUUAUUUGGCUCGUAGCUAUUCUCUUCUGAUCCCAAUGAUGUGUGGAAACGCUUGUUAUGUCGAGAUUGGUUUUUUAUUUGAGUCGGAUGUAUGACAGAAAAUGAGUCUUGUCCACAAAGAUUGGGUAAGGUCUAAGUACAUCCUAACCUUCCACUACACCAAGUAUGUUAUUGUUGAACGGGUGAUGAAAAUAGGUUUUACUAACAAUUGUUAGCAGUCUUACUGUGAUAUUUUAGUCUUCGCUUACUUUUACUUUGAGUUUGAGAUUUUCUUUAUUUGUUCAUUUCUGAUGUUUUGGGAGUUCGCUUACACUUUAUACAUAUUUAAUAGCAUCGAUACUACUAAAUUGUAUACUGCUAAUUUUUGUACUGCAAUGUUUUACUUUUAUCAUUUUGUUUUUGGUUUCAUUUAAUUGUAUAUAUUCUGAGCUUUUAAUUCUUUAAUAUAUGCCAAAUUUGUUAUAUUAUUUUUUGUCUAUUAAUUUUAACGGAGGCUUUCUACUGUUCGGCUGCCACUGCUCUCAAAUAAACUAGUGUCAAAACUCACUUUCUGUUGGCAGGGUAGAAUGCUAGAGCCUAAUGGAGUGUUCUCAAUUACGCUUGUCCGCUUAUUGUUCUUCAAAAUUCCGGACUUUCAUUUGUUUCCCGAUGACUACUGGCUAUCUAAAAAGUUAAGUUUUUCAUAAGCCAUGAAAAACGUUUUCCUGCCUCAUAUUGUUUACCAACUUUAGAAAAGAUAAAUGAAGAGAAAUAUGUAUACAUGCAGGACAGGAAGAGAAGACAAAAUUACUGUUAACUGAUUGUGAUUCUGUCUUGUAACUCAUAUGACAAUUUCUUUUAGUCAACAUUAUUUUUGUGUCAA